CCCCUUUUUCAUUUCACAUGCAUGAUGAUUAGGUAUUCAUGCAUAUGUGUGAGACAUGCCUCCUUCAAACCUUUGUUACGAUGUCAGCAUAUUAUCCAUCUGAUG